UAUAAAGACCUAGCAGAGCAUGUGAGCA
rnacentral:piRNA from 1 species